GAAGAAUUGUCCCGCUAGAGGUCAACCACUGCGGAAGCAAGACUGUGUGUGUUAUGUGUCGACUCCGCUGUCCAAGUCUGAGAGACUGUCCCACCUGAGGCUUCUGGGUAAUUAACUCUUCAACAGGCAAGUUCUACCAUGGGAAACCCGUGCAGUGCUGAGGUAAAGCCAAGGCUUCUUGCAGGCUUAGGCAAGCACUCUACCAACUGAACUGUCUCUCCAGCUCUCUUUAAAAGUUUUCCAGUCGGGCUGGAGAGGUGACGCCGUGGUUAAGAGCGCUGACUGCUCUUCCUGAGGUCCUGAGUUCAAUUCCCAGCAGCCACAAGGUGGCUCACAACCAUCUGUAAUGAGAUCUGAUGCCCUCUUCUGGUGUGUGUCUGAAGACAG
rnacentral:lncRNA from 1 species